rnacentral:rRNA from 1 species
GUCUAUGGCCAUGCUACCCUGAACAAGCCCAAUGUCUGAUCUCGGAAGCUAAGCAGGGUCGGGCCUGGUUAGUACUUGGAUGGGAGAUCACCUAGGAAAACCAGGUGCUGUAGGCA